UGCCAGUAGUCAUAUGCUUGUCUCAAAGAUUAAGCCAUGCAUGUCUAAGUAUAAAUAGUAUACAGUGAAACUGCGAAUGGCUCAUUAAACCAGUUAUAGUUUAUUUGAUAAUGGAAAGCUACAUGGAUAUCCGUGGUAAUUCUAGAGCUAAUACAUGCUUAAAAACCUGACUUUCGGAAAGGUUGUAUUUAUUAGAUAUAAGCCAAUAUUCCUUCGGGUCUAUUGCGGUGAAUCAUAAUAACUGAUCGAAUCUCAAAUUUGAGAUAAAUCAUUCAAGUUUCUGCCCUAUCAGCUUUCGAUGGUAGUGUAUUGGACUACCAUGGCAGUCACGGGUAACGGAGAAUUAGGGUUCGGUUCCGGAGAGGGAGCCUGAGAAACGGCUACCACAUCUAAGGAAGGCAGCAGGCGCGUAAAUUACCCAAUCCUGAUUCAGGGAGGUAGUGACAAGAAAUAACAACCUGGGGGUCUAUGACCUUACGGGAUUGCAAUGAGAACAAUUUAAACCACUUAGCGAGGAACAAUUGGAGGACAAGUCUGGU
rnacentral:rRNA from 1 species